CCCUACGGGGUGCAGCAGGCUAUCAUAACUUUAUCAUCGUUGGUCCAUCCAUCCAUGAUAGAACCUCCCUGCAUGGCUGCAUAUACAUACUUGCUGAUGCAAUCCCAGGCCUCGGAGCAAAAUUCCCCGUGCAGCAUCCUCAUAUAUCCUUCUUUAUCUACGAUGAACUCCUGGCCAUCUUUAAAUCUUCCGCACUUCCCUAUAUUUGGAUUUGCAAGAUACUCGUCUGCCAGGUCCUGAUAAUAUUCUCUUCUCAAAACUGUGAUCUUACAUUUAUUUCGCCAUUUGCCGGCCAUAUGAGUUUCUCCUUUGUCUUAAAUUUUAUGUUCAAUUUCAACGACACAUUCGGUCUUUAUUGUAUGAACCAGGAAUUGGCGGGAGAGC
rnacentral:rRNA from 1 species